rnacentral:lncRNA from 1 species
AGUGAGGAAAAAUAGACAUAGGUGUUGCUCUUCUGAACUUAAGUUCUAGAGUUAGAGAAAAAUAUUAGUCAGAUAUUAAUAUGUAUAAAUGCAAAGUUGGAACUGUUUUCAUUUGCUGUAGAGAAGUACAUGGUUUUUAAUAUGAGGGCUUUUGGAAGGAUAAUUUAAUCAAUUAGUGGGACCACACCAAGGGAAGGGUUUGUUUUUUGUUUGAGAAAGUGUUUAGUUAGCUGAAAUCUUGAUGAAUUUGAGUUACGUUGAUCAAGAGGGAGAAAAAAGUUGGUGGAAGAAAGGAGGAUCUAUGUACAAGAUCCUCAUGUGGGAAGAUUUUAGUACCUAACAUUAAAUGAAAGUCAGAAUGACAGAAGCCAAGGACUAGAGAGUGCAUGGAAAGAGGUUAUGCUAAGGAUUUAUGUCAGAGCCAAAUUGCAGGAUAUUGUGGGCCAAGGUUUUUUAUCCUUAGAGUUAUUAUUUAAAUUUAAACUAAUAUUCUUUACACUCUACAAAGACUUACCACUGCAGUUGACCCUUGAGCAGCUUGGGAGUUAGUGAUGCCACUCCUACAAGCAGUCAAAAACCCAAGGAUAAUUUAUAGUUGGCCUUAUUAUCUGAGGUUCCUCUGUGUGGGAAGAUUCAACCAAUUGCAGAUCCCAUAAUACUGUAGUAUUUAUUAUUGGGGAAAAAAAAUCUGGAUUUUUUGGAUACACAUAGUUCAGACUCCUGUUGUUCAAGAGUCAGCUGUACUUGCUCCGGUGGUUGUAUUCUAAGAGUUCAUUUUUCUUUCAGUUUAAGACUUACAGUGCUUUUCCUAUGGAAUCAUUGUUGUAGAGAUCAAGUCUCCUAAAACAUUUUUAACACAGUUAACAGUGGAAGGUAGUGAAUAUUAACAUUGAGCCCUUAAGAAAACUAGGUGGAAGAUAGAAAAGAAAAACAAAAAAGGGGAUUAAAAUUGGUAUCUCUACAUACUCAAGAGAAUGUCCUGAGUGUGAUUGACUGAGUUUGAAUAAUAAGGAAAAAAGUCUGCAAGUGUAGGAGGCUAGUGUAGGAGAUCCUAGCAAAUGAUUAUCAUAUUCAGUUGGACAGCUUAAGACCCUCACUUGGUACCUGUAUGAAGCAGUGUGAUAUCCGAAGCAUACCAAGGCAGGGAAAGUAGAAGACAUCAUAUUCACAAAUUCAAUGUUCCAAAUCUAGGAAAUAUUUGUGUCAAUGUUAUUAAAACAUAAAAUUAAAAAAUAUAUUUUAAGUAGAAUUGCAAAAUGGUAAUACAAUGCCAACUGUGUUUUGGUUUUUUUAGAGUAAAAAAGUAAGAAGUUAGAAGAAUUAUAUUUUACUAAUGCUCAUAUUUAUUUGUUUGUUUUUUGGUUUAUUUUUAGCCACACCCAUGGCAUCUGGAAGUUCAUGGCCAGGGAUCAAAUCUAAGCCUCAGCUGAGGCCUACAUCACAAGCUGUGGCAAUGCCAGAUCCUUAACCCUCUGUGCUGGGCCAGGGAUUGAACUCAUGCUACCACAGAGAUGAGAUGGCAUCCUUAACCUGCUGUGGCACAGCAGGAACUCCUGAAGUAGUACUUUUAAAGACAAAGUUGAAGGAAUUUAAUUUUUAAUCUUAUUUUCCAUUUAACUUAGAACAUCGUCAAUAAGAUAGUUUCAUUUCUUGUUGAUAUUUAAAUUUUAAGCCUCUUUGAACACCAGCUUACAUCUAUAUUAGUAAAUAAUCUAGUUAAUAAAGUUUAUUAAGAAUAUUAUAAAAAGAUGGAUCAGUUACUUGAAUUUUAUCAAGACCAAAAUGUCACAAAAAAAUGUGUUAAAUUGUAAGGAAAAGGUAAAAUAUAUGCAAGCAUUCACUGAAUAGUCAUCACAAUACUGUUGGUUGAGGAAUUCUGCCAGUACAUCAUCCUUUAUCAGGUGAUCUUGAACUUUAACUUUCUGGCAUUCUCAAGUAUGGCUUUUAAAGCAGAUUAACAUCUAAAAUUAAGAACUGCAGAAUUGACUUUAGUGGUUAUUUACUCAUGUAUUUGCACUUUUACUUACUUACAAAACAUUCUAAAUUAGAAAGUAUCACUACCAUUUAUUUAUUUAUUUUUGCAGUGUCUAGCAGACUACUGGUAUUCAGAGACCAUAAAUAUUUGGGAAGCUUAUUGGGGUUUGAAAACACAGUUUACUAAAUUUAUCUGAUAUCUCUAAGGGUCAUCGUACCUUUUAAACAGAAAUGAAGAAUCACUUGGAAAUUAUUAGGGAUUGAUGUGUUCCCUCUGUUUUACAGGUUUCUACUUGUCUAUCAAAGUAUAUUCCAAAAAUCCCUAGUUCUGUGAUAAUAGGUAUGGCCAUCCUCACCUAUCUCCCAUGAGAUUUCUUCAUUGACGUUUUGAAAACUUGAUUAAAGAAUACUGAACAGGAUUUUUUUUUACCAUAAUAGCAAUCACUAACAUUUAUUGAAUGCUUACUUUGUGCCAGUCACUAUGCUAAGAGUUUUACAUACAUUAUCUUAUUUAAUCUUAACAACCAGAAAAAACACUUGGAAGAAUAUUCAAGAAGUAUUUCCUUGUAUUACUUCACAGCUUAUAAGCACCAGUGCAAGAACUUCUGUUAAGAAUAUAAUAGUGAGAAAAAUACCAUUUUCUGUUCUUAAAAAUCCUGUGGCUUUGGGAAAGAAGAUUAUGAAAUUUAUCCUUAAAAUUAAACAUUGAACUUAAUAAUGUUUUCUAUGCUCUUCUAACCAUAGUAUUCACAGAUAAUCAGUGAAAACCAUUAUAUUCUUUUAUGACUAGGAAACAACCUUUAAGGCUUCAGAGAGAUGCCUGGGUUUGAACACAGGUUCUAUAGUGUUCAAACACAGGCCACUAUAGUGUUCAACUUUGGUGAGCUGUUAAGGUUCUGAAAUUGAGUUUCUCUGUAAAAUUAGUAUAGUGGUACAUUUCUCACAGAGUUAGUUGUGACUAUUAAGUGAUAGAGUACCAAGCGUAUAUGAAGUCCUAGCAUAUGGUGUACAUUCACUGAAACUUGGUUUUCUUUCUUUUUCCUUCUCUUCUUUUUCUGUUAGUAAUAACCAUGUUUUAGAAUCUUCAUGAAAUUAUAUACACAUUAAAUUUUUAAAUUGUUUUCCUUUUAAAAAGUAAUCUAUUUCUCCUAAAAUUAUUUUAAAACUUUCCUUAAAUUCUGAUUUGAGGGCUUGAUUUACUUCAUCUUUUUGCUUUUCUGCAUUUUGCUAAUGAAAUGGGCACUUGUAAAUGUUGUUGAACUCAGAUAUAAAUUUAAGUAGCCACACUUCAUUAAUGUAAACACUCUACUGAAAGCUUACAGCUAUGCUUUUGGUUCUUAUUAAGUGAAAGAAUAUUAAAUAGAGUUCCUUUUUUUGUCUUUAUUUCCCCACACUAAACAGGCGAUAGUGCAAAGAAGUUAAGUGCCUGGACUCUAGGGCAAAUCUGUUUGGAAUCAAAUCCCUACUUUACCACUUAACUAUGUGACACCUGCACCUCAAUUUACACAUUAGUAAAAUGGGAGUAAUAAUUGUGCCCACCUUAGGGCAUAUAUCUAUAUCUAUCUAUAUAUAACUGUUAAAAAUGCCUUGCACAUACUGAGUGCCGUAACAGUGUUAACUGUUAAUAGUGAUUAUAUGUAUUAUCUGUAGAUGAAUAUGUAUUAUCUGUAUAUCAGUUGUAUUAUAGAAAAAAUUGUUACUACUGUUCUGGUAAGAGUCUAAUUUGGUAAUUUUUCAUUUGGUAGAAUAAAAACAAAUUCAGUUUAAUUUACGGUUCCAUGAAAAGUAUGUAGCAUUUGUAUUUGCAAAUUCUUCACUUUUUUUUUUACUUCUUAAUCGUAUUAUUGGAGAUAGUGAAAAAUCCCUGUUGUUUCUGGUGAAGAAGCUAAGACAUAAGUAAAUUUAGGAGCUUUUAAAGCAUAGCAGUUUUUAAAGUUAGUAGAAAGUUAGUAUUCAGAGUAUUCCAUGUGCUAUUAUGUUGAGCCAUGCAUCUCUACUCCUUAUUAAAUAUUCAAACAACAAACCUAUUAGUUGGCAAACUAAAUGUUAAAGGGAUAUUAUUCUGUUCUUCAAGACUUUCAUUGGCUUAUGUCUCCUUUGGAUGUGUUCUCUUAAGAUUGAUUCACUUAGCCUUAAAUUAAUUCAAAGAUUGUAUGCAAAAAAAUUGUCUUUGCUGGCAUUGGACUAAUUAAAGCUAAGUGGUGGUGGCCCAGCUAUCCUUUAGGACAUUUGUGGGUGGAGUAUCUUUUUUAGUAAUCAGCUGCCUUCCCUUCCCGCCUCAUUUGAUGAAAUGGAAAAUUUCUCUACAAUUUCUCAUAGUAUCAGUAACCAUUGUAGUAAUACUGUGCUUUUCUGAACCAUCCAAGAAACUUAACCGUCAUUCUUAAUAUUAGUUUCUAUGAAAAAUGAUUCCAAGUUUCAAAGAAUAAAUUGAAAAGCACUAGGAUUAUAAGAACAGUUUUCUGGUUUUUUUUUAGAAAGAUACAUUAGAGAAACAUUUAAAAUAUUUGUUUUUUCUUGUUUAAAAUACUGCACAUUGUCUCUAAUUAAUCAAUUUAAGAAAGUUAUGAACAGUUUGUUUGGAAUCCAGAAAAUAAUAAAUGAUGAUGACUAGAAAACUCAAAAGCAUCCCUUUAAGAGAGAAUUGUAAAUGUUACUUAGACAAGUAAUAGAAAAGUGUCAUUUAGGAGUAGUAAAUAAUUUACUAUGAAUUUUCUCUUUAAAACUAACAAAACUUAAAACUUAGUAUUUUAGUCUAAUAAUUUGGAAAUCUUUAUAGGUGCUUUCACAUCAGUGCCACUUUUAUUAUAGAAAACUAAACAAGGAUAAAUUUAUAUAUGUUGAAAAUAGCAGUAUUGACUCAAACACAAAAUAUCCUGUUUUCCAUCCUUGUGAAAUAAUGUUUAAAUUGUAAACAAAUUUGGAAAAAUGUUUUUCUCUAUCUUUUUUUAUAUUUUUUAUUCUUAUUUUUUUUUAGUGUUUUCAUGUAUACACUCUACCGAUUAUUAGGGGCAUAGACUCAGGGAACCUAGUCACCUAAUAACCGAAUUUGAAAACUCUCAAAUUAUUUUGUAAAUCCUGUUGUGAUUAAACCACUUUAAGUUUCUCCUAAAAAAAAAGUCAAGUUAUGUUUAAAAUAAUCUUUUUUAAAGUUAUGGCUUCUGAAAAGGAUUAUUUCUUGAAAGGAGAUUGUGAACAUUUUAGAAUAUUAUUAAGGCUACCAUCAGCUGCUAAGGGACAUCAAAUCCUGACUCAAGGAAAUAGUAAUUUUUCAUAAGUAGGAAUUUUUCUAAAGUAGAGAAAAGAUGUACAUUGUUGUCUGUUACAUAUGCAAUUAGGUAAAAAAAGUCCUAGGACUUAAGAAGCAAUCUCAGGUUUUUCAUAGCGGUGUAGAGAAGUAUAAAUAUUUAUUCAGUUGCUUGUUCUACACAUGUUAACUACAUGAUAUGAGCCAUGUAUGCAGCAAUAAAUAAGACAGGUAGGUAUAUGAUAUCAUAUUUGUCUUUCUCUUUCUGACUUACUUCACUCGGUAUGAGAGACUGUAGUUCCAUUCAUGUUGCUGCAAAUGAAAAGACUUAGAGAAAAGACUUGUGGUUGCCAAGGGGGAGGGGGAGGGAGUAGGAUGGAUUGGGAGCUUGGGGUUAAUAGAUGCAGACUAUUGCCUUGGGAAUGGAUUAGCAAUGAGAUCCUGUUGUGUAGCACUGGGAGCUAUGUCUAGUCACAUGAUGGAGCAUGAUAAUGUGAGAAAAAAGAAUGUAUACGUGUAUGUGUAACUGAGUCACCAUGCUGUACAGUAGAAAAAAA